UACGUAGGGCGCAAGCGUUGUCCGGAAUUAUUGGGCGUAAAGAGCUCGUAGGCGGCCUGUUACGUCUGCUGUGAAAUCCCGGGGCUUAACCCCGGGCGUGCAGUGGAUACGGGCAGGCUGGAGGCAGGCAGGGGAGAACGGAAUUCCCGGUGUAGCGGUGAAAUGCGCAGAUAUCAGGAGGAACACCGGUGGCGAAGGCGGAUCUCUGGGCCUUACCUGACGCUGAGGAGCGAAAGCGUGGGUAGCGAACAGG
rnacentral:rRNA from 1 species